rnacentral:rRNA from 1 species
GUAGGUGGCAAGCGUUGUCCGGAAUUAUUGGGCGUAAAGCGCGCGCAGGUGGUUCUUUAAGUCUGAUGUGAAAGCCCCCCGGCUCAACCGGGGAGGGUCAUUGGAAACUGGGGAACUUGAGUGCAGGAGAGGAAAGUGGAAUUCCACGUGUAGCGGUGAAAUGCGUAGAUAUGUGGAGGAACACCAGUGGCGGAGGCGACUUUCUGGCCUGUAACUGACACUGAGGCGCGAAAGCGUGGGGAGCAAACAGGAUUAGAUACCCUGGUAGUCCACGCCGUAAACGAUGAGUGCUAAGUGUUGGGGGGGGUUUUACCCGCCCCCCGUCAGUGCUGCAGCUAACGCAUUAAGCACUCCGCCUGGGGAGUACGGUCGCAAGACUG